rnacentral:antisense_RNA from 1 species
GUGUCACUGUGAGCUGUGUCGCUGCCUUAAGAGAUAUCUGUUGUGUCUUAUUACUUGGUUGCUUUUCCCCACAUGUACAAUGACAAAAAUGCCUUCAACCUAUUUGAUCCAGCCAUUCCAGUACAACUCCUAUACUUGCCAUCUUUCCAAGCCCAAAGCUAUAGUUCCUCAUGGUCCUGCACUCCAUGGACUAAAUUGAGGGCUCUGAGAGAUUUCAUUUCUGUCCUGCUGAUGAAGUCUACUUUCAUUCAGGGCCUGCUGUGGAAGACCAGCCCCCAAAGUUGCUGAACAGAAGACUUUUGAGAGUCAGCAGAAAUCUUCCACUUUGCAUGGUUCUCUUGAUGUGAAAUCAUCUAUAUAGCCCCAGAAUUGGAAAAGAAAAAAAAUAAAAAAAUAGAAGGAAACUGGAUUCGA